rnacentral:rRNA from 1 species
CAGUCGCCACGGGAAUACGAAGGGGGCUAGCGUUGCUCGGAAUGACUGGGCGUAAAGGGCGCGUAGGCGGAAUGCCUUGUCGGGCGUGAAAUUCCAGGGCUUAACCUUGGGGCUGCGUUCGAGACGGGUAUUCUAGAGUGGAGAAGAGGGUCGUGGAAUUCCCAGUGUAGAGGUGAAAUUCGUAGAUAUUCGGAAGAACACCAGUGGCGAAGGCGACACACUGGCCCAUUACUGACGCUGAGGCUCGAAAGCGUGGGGAGCAAACAGGAUUAGAUACCCCCGUAGUCCCUGUCUCUUAUAC